AGUGAACGCUGGCGGUAGGCCUAACACAUGCAAGUCGAACGGCAGCACAGUAAGAGCUUGCUCUUACGGGUGGCGAGUGGCGGACGGGUGAGGAAUACAUCGGAAUCUACUUUUUCGUGGGGGAUAACGUAGGGAAACUUACGCUAAUACCGCAUACGAUCUACGGGUGAAAGCAGGGGAUCUUCGGACCUUGCGCGAUUGAAUGAGCCGAUGUCGGAUUAGCUAGUUGGCGGGGUAAAGGCCCACCAAGGCGACGAUCCGUAGCUGGUCUGAGAGGAUGAUCAGCCACACUGGAACUGAGACACGGUCCAGACUCCUACGGGAGGCAGCAGUGAGGAAUAUUGGACAAUGGGCGCAAGCCUGAUCCAGCCAUACCGCGUGGGUGAAGAAGGCCUUCGGGUUGUAAAGCCCUUUUGUUGGGAAAGAAAAGCAGCAGGUUAAUACCCCGCUGUUCUGACGGUACCCAAAGAAUAAGCACCGGCUAACUUCGUG
rnacentral:rRNA from 1 species